UACGUAGGGGGCAAGCGUUGUCCGGAAUCAUUGGGCGUAAAGAGCGCGUAGGCGGCCCAGUAAGUCCGCUCUGAAAGUCAGGGGCUCAACCCCUGGAUGCGGGUGGAUACUGCUGGGCUAGAGUCCGGAAGAGGUGAGUGGAAUUCCUGGUGUAGCGGUGAAAUGCGCAGAUAUCGGGAGGAACACCGGUGGCGAAGGCGGUUCUCUGGGCCUUACCUGACGCUGAGGAGCGAAAGCGUGGGGAGCGAACAGG
rnacentral:rRNA from 1 species